rnacentral:Y_RNA from 1 species
GGCUGGUCUGAGUGCAGUGGUAUUUACAAAUAAUUGAUCACAGCCAGUUACAGAUUCCUUUGUUCCUUCUUCCCUCCCACUGUUUCAUUUGACUAGCUGUAA